UCUCCCACGCCUCCUGAUCCCAGCCGCCAGGAGGCACGCGGCCCGUGCGGCGCUCGAUCCGGUGACGCGCCGGCCGCCGCCGACGCCGGCAAUCACAGCACCCUGCACCACCGUUCCACCUUAGCUCCUCAUCUUCCCCGCGUGCCCGAGCUCCUCCUCUCUCCCGCAUGCCCGAGCUCCUCGCUGUGUGCCGCUCGGGAGGGCUUGCGUUCGCCGCUCGACCAAAGCCACCGCGAGCUGGUCGUCGUUGCACUUGCUGGCGACCUGGCCGUCCCCUCUGCACCACUUUCACCUCAAAUUUGGACGCUCAUGUGCUUGUGGAUAUUCUCAGUUAUUUUUUGCACACAAGGUGUUUGUGUGUUUGUCUGAACCAGUUUCAGUCACAGAUCCUUGAGCCGACCUAAUUGAGCUAUCGGAGGUGUUGCGGUCUUUUAGCAAACAUGCCCUAUAUUCUAUGGUUUGGCAUCUACAGGAUGCCAUCUCUGGUCAUGGAUCCACUAUGGCUGCUUCGUCCUUCACUUAGGACCUUCUCACCCCCACAGAGAUCAGAGAGAAAAAUAUAUCUUGGAAGCAGGAACCCUUACCUCAUAAGAUGGGUUAUGACUAUGCCGUAGGUGACGUGCGGAAAGGCGACCAAAGAGUACAUGAAGAAUUCUUGCUAUCAACUAGGGCUGGAUGCCCCCAGGAAGAAUGCCGUGAGUCAACUUUAAUGACUAAUAUGUUAAUUUCUUCUAGCUACACAAUAUGAGAUAUUGCUUCUUAAUUAACGCUUACUGCUACGUAGUAAGAUGACAAUGGGAUUUUGUUUCUCGAGUUGGCACUCAGUAGUAAAAGUGGUUUAUACUUCGAAUAGUUGAGCAGAAAACUGGCGUGUCAUGGCUCCUAAUGUUACAGAGCAAGUGGACAGACUCUAUCCCCCCCCCCCUCUCUCUAGACUUUGUUUUCUAGGUUUGGUUGGGUACAAAAGGCUAGAUUCUGGUAUAUAUUCAUUGAUGCAGAAGCUAGAAGCUCAUUGAUAUUAUUUUUCUUGCCAAACAUACAAAGGAUUGUGCAUAAAACUUCCAGCUUGAAAUUUACAUCUGGGUUACGAGCUUUCUUCAGAAUUUAAGAACAUCGUUGUGGACAUUUAGAUAUUUUUGUAGUAUUCUUCAGGGUCUUGACUUAAUUUCUUUUCACACAGUAAAAUAUUAAUUAUAUGUUGUACAGUAGUAGUACUGUGCAUACUAUGUACUCAAGUUUAUUAAAGUCAAAGCAGGAAAGGAGAUCAGAGUUCAGGGCAUGUUCAACUCCACCCAUGCAUCAAGGGAAAUAUAUACGACGCAAAUGAUAACGUGUUCUGCUAGAUGACAUAGUACAAGGUUCAGCAGCGACGACAUGAUCUCAAACAUGCCACUGGCAUGGCACCUAUACUAAACUUGAUUUGUUCUCUCAAUAUGGAGUGUUAAUCUUCUCCUCUGCAUAGUACAAAUAUUCCCUUAGCUCAAAGGAUAUAGACAUGGUGAGUUUGGUUGGAGGAAAUAAGAAUGAUUUAUAAAAGUAAUAAAAGGGAGAUAAUGCUG